CAUGGAACCUAUAAAGAUCAUUCAAUGGUGGGCGCCAAGAUCCCUCUGGGAUCUCUUGUUAUUCAUUAAAAUUAUAUCAGACAACUAUUCCAGUGGCAGAGGAAUUAGUUGAAUUUAUUUAUUUAUUUAUUUUUAUUUAUUUUUUCAACUGUUUUUACAUUUUAAAAUGUUUUAGCUUAUACAUUUUAUACGUAGCUAUUACGUAAUUAUUUAAAUAAGCUGGGUACAUUAGCCCUCACAUAUCAAUAAAUUACUUUUUAUAAGUAUUAGACAGCUUACAAAAUUUCCUCCUCCUUUUCAUGUUAAAUCCUUUGUUUUUUUAUUAAAUUUCUAUUGCCGCUUUUUUCUGCAUUUUUUCUUAUAUACUUUUGAUACGCAUACACUAGUAUAAGAUAAAAACCCGCAUACACUAUAGGGACACCCCGGACCAUCUAUACCUCCAGCCAAGCCCGGCAAAAGGACAAAGUACUGUACCUUACGGAAGCAGUGACGUCCUCGACUGUCGGGUGUAACUGGUGGCCUUAGACCCGGGGUACAUAACAGGCACAUUAUAUAUCGCCCCUUAUUUGAACACCAACAUACGACAAUAAUCUCACUCUUGAACACACAUAUAUAUCUACCGAUAUUUUUUGUAAAAAUAACUUAAAAAUAUAUAAAGAUAAAUUUUUAAUAUAAUUAUAUAGUAAGCCUCUUGGCUCCCUUCGGUCGCCCUCCCACGACAAAAAACUAUAACGUGGGAUAAUUUUACACCACCAUAGAGCGACUGGCGUACAUGGGCUUGUCCACAACGGCAAUGAAUGUGACAUGCGUGUUAUUUCCAAAAGUGGAUUAACAUUUGAAAAGGCUUGGAAUCAGUUGAAGAACUUGGUAACAAAUUACAAAAUUUUGGUCCUCCACUUGGGUUAUGAUGAAUUGGCUAAAAGGGAAACUGAUGAAAAAGUUCUUUCAAAGUACCAAACUCUUGUAGAAAAUGUCUGUUUUUUUCAGUCGAUAGGUAUUCAUUAGUGCUUUAAAUAAUAAAUAGGUUUUCAUCUGCAGCCCGCCUUGUGCGUAUAAAUGCUCGGAUGUAAAUAAUUAAUCAUUAACAUUUCAAAUGGCCAAGAGUUCUACAUUUUUUUUCUAAAGUUUUAUUAUUUGUUGAAUACUCACACGGGCAUGUCUAGACUCCCAUUCAGGCCCAACCGAUCCCGUUCAGGUCGACAAUGUUUGUUGGUUCGAUUAGCGACUCGUUUACAUAACUUUCUCAAAAUAUAUAUCUUUUAUUAAAAAAAAACAUAGAAAUGGUAUUUUACUAUGAAAUAGCAUCUCUUCUUGCAUUAUGCACAAAAAUAUUAUACAAACUUAGCUAUAAUACAGCUAAAAUCCCGUUCAGGUCCACUCGAUCCCAUUCAGGUCCGCCGUGUUUGUCAGUUCGAAUAGCGACCCAUUUAUCGAGCUGUAAAAUACAUCAUUAUGAUUUUUUUUUGUACAGAAAUGGUAUUUUACUAUGAAAUAACAUCUCUUCCUGCAUUAUGCACAAAAAAUUUAUUAUACAAACUUAGCUAUAAUACAGCUAAAAUCCCGUUCAGGUCCACUCGAUCCCAUUCAGGUCCGCCGUGUUUGUCGUCCGAUAGCGACUCAUUUAUCGAGCUUUAAAAAACAUCAUUCAAAUUUUUUUUUUCAAAUGAAAAUGGUGUUUCGACAUGUAAUAACACACAUUCUUGCAUAAAACACUGAGAAAUAACACAUUUAUAAUCAAUAAACACCUUUAAAACCCAUUCAGGUCCAGAUUCGGGUCCUUUCAGGUCCAUUCAUGUCUUUAGGAGGACCCCGGUGAUACUAAUAACCGCCUGGUGGAGCUCAACACAGACUGGGGGACAGGGUAGGACAGGAUAGGGAUCAAGGGAACCACUCGGGCCUUUACGUGCAUUCCAGACCAUUUACAUUAUAGUAUUGUGUAUCUGCUAACUCAUUAAGUAAAUACUAUUUGAAAGAAAGAAGGAAAAAUGAAUAAUCUUGAGAACGAAGUUAA